GAACGCUGGCGGUAGGCCUAACACAUGCAAGUCGAACGGCAGCACAGUAAGAGCUUGCUCUUACGGGUGGCGAGUGGCGGACGGGUGAGGAAUACAUCGGAAUCUACUUUUUCGUGGGGGAUAACGUAGGGAAACUUACGCUAAUACCGCAUACGACCUACGGGUGAAAGCAGGGGAUCUUCGGACCUUGCGCGAUUGAAUGAGCCGAUGUCGGAUUAGCUAGUUGGCGGGGUAAAGGCCCACCAAGGCGACGAUCCGUAGCUGGUCUGAGAGGAUGAUCAGCCACACUGGAACUGAGACACGGUCCAGACUCCUACGGGAGGCAGCAGUGGGGAAUAUUGGACAAUGGGCGCAAGCCUGAUCCAGCCAUACCGCGUGGGUGAAGAAGGCCUUCGGGUUGUAAAGCCCUUUUGUUGGGAAAGAAAAGCAGCAGGUUAAUACCCCGCUGUUCUGACGGUACCCAAAGAGUAAGCACCGGCUAACUUCGUG
rnacentral:rRNA from 1 species